GCAUGGCUCAGUAGUAGAUCAUCUGCAUGGCAGGUAGAAGGUCCAAGGUUCAAUCCCUGGCAUCUCCA
rnacentral:tRNA from 1 species